rnacentral:rRNA from 1 species
UACAGAGGGCGCGAGCGUUGUCCGGAAUCACUGGGCGUAAAGGGCGCGUAGGUGGCGGCAUAAGGCCGCGGUGAAAGUCUGGGGCUCAACCCCAGAUCGGCCGCGGCGACUGUGUCGCUCGAGCACGGUAGAGGCAGAUGGAAUUCCGGGUGUAGCGGUGGAAUGCGUAGAGAUCUCCAAGAACACCAGUUGCGAAGGCGGCCGACUGGACCCAUAUUGACGCUGAGGCUCGAAAGCAUGGGGAGCAAACAGG